GACGAACGCUGGCGGCGUGCUUAACACAUGCAAGUCGAACGGAAAGGCCCUGCUUUUGUGGGGUGCUCGAGUGGCGAACGGGUGAGUAACACGUGAGUAACCUGCCCUUGACGUUGGGAUAACUUCAGGAAACUGGGGCUAAUACCGGAUAGGAGCUCCUGCUGCAUGGUGGGGGUUGGAAAGUUUCGGCGGUUGGGGAUGGACUCGCGGCUUAUCAGCUUGUUGGUGGGGUAGUGGCUUACCAAGGCUUUGACGGGUAGCCGGCCUGAGAGGGUGACCGGCCACAUUGGGACUGAGAUGCGGCCCAGACUCCUACGGGAGGCAGCAGUGGAGAAUGUUGCACAAUGGGCGGAAGCCUGGUGCAGCGAAGCCGCGUGCGGGAUGACGGCCUUCGGGUUGUAAACCGCUUUCGCCUGUGACGAAGCGUGAGUGACGGUAAUGGGUAAAGAAGCACCGGCUAACUACGUG
rnacentral:rRNA from 1 species